GGCAGCCCUUAUCAAAGCUCCUGCUGCUUCCACGUGGCUGAUGUGGUCAAAAACAAGCCCCAAGUAACAGUUUGCCUUAACUGUCCUGGUUCCAUUUGCAGUAACACAUCUAAGGUUCUGGGGAAAGACAGUU